AGCAGCAUCUGGACACCCUUAGAGGGGGAAGCAGCGGAUGCAGAGCCACAGCUGGUGCUCAACACGGGGCACAACCAGCUGACAUAACCCACAGCUGGUACCCACGGGAAUCCAACAGGACCUCUGGGUUGAGCAAAAAGGGGCCCUACUAUGUUUUCCACAGGAGUCAACUCAUGGAUUCAGAUACUCUGAAAGGACAUCUGACCUGAUGCCUCCAGUCCAGAGCCACUCUCUGGUGUUAAUGAAAGGAAAUAAAACUUGAGACAUGUGAUUCAUGUAAUUUA